UAACACCUGAAAACUAUCAGAAAAUUGUUAUUUUUGUGUUCUUAAUACGUUUUAACACCUGAAAACUAUCAGAAAAUUGCUAAUAUUUGUGUUCUUCAUUCGCUUUUUUUCUUCAGUGCAAAACCAUGUAAAUAUUUUAGACAAGGACAAGGGGUUUGUCCGUUUGGUGGUGCUUGUUUCUACCUACAUACAUAUCCAGAUGGAAGGAAAGUAGAACUUCCACCACCUAGGCCUCGUCGUAGGCAGAAUCAAGAUGGUGAACUGGAAACAGUUGAUAGAAUAUUUUUGUGGGAUUUCUUUGAUUUCCACGAUGAUCAGAUACUGUUUCACCUGGGCAUUGAAGACGUGUUAGACUUGUUUACUGAUACUGAUUCAGAAAAUAGUGAUGUAGAUUUAUAGGAAACUUUCUUGCUUCUCCAUAUUUUUUGAGUAAAUUUUUCGAUACCAUUGGCAUUGUCAGUUUGGAGUGUAAAUGUACGUUAUUUUAAAGAUUACAAAUCACUCAAAUGCUUAAAACCUGUUUGAUAGCACAGAAUGGUCAUCUUGCUUUAUCCAAUAGCAAGACAGUAUUGUAUGCUUAGAAUACAAUUUGAAGUAGAGAUUGAGGUCAUAAUAUUCUAGUGUUAUUUUCCUUGAUAUGCUCAUUAUUACAAUAAAACUUAAUAAAUGUAUUUAAGAUUCUUUUCAAAAUCUAUCUUAAUGAACUACUUUCAGUAAUUUCAUCAAAUUAAAUUCUUCAUGUUACAGUUUCUGGAAUUUUUUGUUUUGUUUUCUUGUGUGAUUUUAGGGCUUAAGACAAGCCACUCAAAAUGUUGUUUUCUUUAGUAUUCUGUUACCUUUUAUAUGUGAGUCAACUGGUCUUUGUUCAAGUCUUGAUACAACUUCUUAUAAUAGAGAAUUGAAUUCACCUUAUGAGGGUGUAUUUACAUAGGAAAAUUUAUUUCUGAGAAUUUUAUUUCUUUUUAAUAUUCAGCAUAGUUUUGAAGCAGUUUGAAAUUAAGUCCAAUCUGUUUCCUGUAUGCUAAAAAAUGUUACUUUAAUCUCUAGCUAUGUGGUGAUUCAAUAGUAACUUGAUGUGAAUUUCAACGUUUUAAUCAUUCUUCCAACCAUUUAUAAUUCAUUUAAUACUUUAUAGGUUCUUCCAAUCCUUUAUCAUCAAUUAAUUCUUUAUAGGUUCUUCCAACCCUUUAUCUUCAUUUAAUACUUUAUAGGUUCUUCCAAUCCUUUAUCUUCAUUUAAUCUUUUGUAAUAGUUCUUCCAACCCUUUAUUGUCAUUUAAUCAUUUGUAAUAGUUCUUCCAAUCCUUUAUCUUCAUUUAAUACUUUAUAGGUUCUUCCAAUCCUUUAUCAUCAAUUAAUUCUUUAUAGGUUCUUCCAACCCUUUAUCUUCAUUUAAUACUUUAUAGGUUCUUCCAAUCCUUUAUCUUCAUUUAAUACUUUAUAGGUUCUUCCAAUCCUUUAUCUUCAUUUAAUCUUAUGUAGCAGUUCUUCCAACCCUUUAUCUUCAUUUAAUCUUAUGUAGCAGUUCUUCCAACCCUUUAUCUUUAUUUAAUCUUAUGUAGCAGUUCUUCCAACCCUUUAUCUUCAUUUAAUCGUUUGUGAGAACAGUUGUUUAGAAAUAAGUGAUUUUAUGUAAACCUGAGAAUCAAAUAACAUAUUUUUUUACACUGAUUAUUUUACGUUUUCACUAGCUAGUAAACUUUUGUGAUGUAAAAUUUAUCAAUUCUUAGCCUGUAGAAUUAACCAUUUAAUUCUGAAGAUUUAAUUAACCAUUUAAUUAAGAAGUUAAUUCUGAAUUUUUACAACAGCUUAAUAAAAUAUUCAUCUAAUGGUUUUUUUUUGUUUCAUGUUUAGGAAAUGUUAAUCAAGGAACCAAAUUUCAUUAACUUUUAUUGUGUUUAAAUUCUCUUUCAUAACGUAAUGUUUGUCAUUGUUUGAACUUAUGGAAAAGUUAUCAGUUUCCUUUGACAAACUGAUAAAAGCAUAGAAUUUAAAAGUGGCUCAUUAGGUGAAACUGUGCACAGUCAAAACUUCAGUAAAUUUUUUUUCGAAGAUAAGAACUUUUUCCACUUAAUAUCAUAAUAAGUUAGAAACAAGAUAUCAAUGAAGUGUGCAUGUUUAUACUAUUAUAUGCAUUUCUGUGUCAGGAAUUGAAAAGUAAGAAAUAUAAAAUUCAUUCCUUUCUUCACCUAACUUGUUAUAAACCCAAAUGAUAACAACUUUGUUUCAUAUAUGUUUCUGAAAUUGUAGAGCCACAAACUGCAAAAUUUAGUGUGUGUUAUGGCUUUAAAUUUAACUGUUUUCUUCUACAUGAAAUGAUGCUUUGUUGCUGCAUUAAAACUAAAGCCAUAGUUGUAUUCUCCUAGGUGCUUGGGUGUUAAACAGGCUUAUUAAACUGGUGUUUUGUAAAAGUUUA
rnacentral:lncRNA from 1 species